GCCAGUGUGGCGUAGUGGUUUGAGUGCUGGACUAUGACUCUGGAGACCAGGGUUUGAGUUCCACCUCGGGUG